GUAAUUCUAGAGCUAAUACAUGCCUACAGAGUUCCAACCGCCUCAUCAGCGGGAGGAACGCUUUUAUUAGAUCAAAACCAUUCGGCGAGCCGAUUCCGGUCGGUCUCGCCGCAAGCACACGAUUCUCGAAUCGUUCAAGUGGUGACUCUGAAUAACUUUGAGCUGAUCGCACGGUCAACAGUACUGGCGAUGCAUCUUUCAAAUGUCUGCCUUAUCAACUGUCGAUGGUAGGUUAUGCGCCUACCAUGGUGGUAACGGGUGACGGGGGAUCAGGGUUCGAUUCCGGAGAGGGAGCCUGAGAAACGGCUACCACAUCCAAGGAAGGCAGCAGGCACGCAAAUUACCCACUCCCAGCUCAGGGGAGGUAGUGACGAACUAUAACGAUACGGGACUCAUCCGAGGCCUCGUAAUCGGAAUGAGUACACUUUAAAACGUUUAACGAGGAUCCAUUGGAGGGCAAGUCUGGUGCCAGCAGCUGCGGUAAUUCCAGCUCCAAUAGCGUAUAUUAAAGUUGUUGCGGUUAAAAAGCUCGUAGUUGGAUGUGUGUCUCGCGGCGUCGGUUCACCGCUCGACGGCGGUGUCAACUGACGCGUCAGCGAAAUGUCCUGUCGGUGGCGGUUCGGUCGGUGCCACCGCAGCUCGGUUUUCGGCCUCACGCCAGGCUGGCCGUCGGUUCCUUUCCUCGCAGGGAAGGAUUCCUGUCGCGGUGUCGGCGUGUCUCCUCGGAGCGCACCGUGCAUCGAGGCGGACCGGCACGUUUACUUUGAACAAAUUAGAGUGCUUAGAGCAGGCAAGCAAUGUGUGACGGGGUGUGCAACCUCGGCCGCCUGAAUACUGUGUGCAUAGAAUAACUGAAUAGGACGUCGGUUCCAGAGGUUAAGUGGUUUUCGGAACCCGACGUAAUGAUUAACAGGGACGGGCGGGGGCAUUCGUAUUGCGACGUUAGAGGUGAAAUUCUUAGAUCGUCGCAAGACGAACAGAAGCGAAAGCGUUUGCCAAGUACGUCCCCGUUGAUCAAGAACGAAAGUUAGAGGUUCGAAGGCGAUCAGAUACCGCCCUAGUUCUAACCAUAAACGAUGCCAGCCAGCGAUCCGCCAACGUUCCUCCGAUGACUUGGCGGGCAGCUUCCGGGAAACCAAAGCUUUUGGGUUCCGGGGGAAGUAUGGUUGCAAAGCUGAAACUUAAAGGAAUUGACGGAAGGGCACCACCAGGAGUGGAGCCUGCGGCUUAAUUUGACUCAACACGGGAAACCUCACCAGGCCCGGACACCGGAGGGAUUGACAGAUUGAGAGCUCUUUCUUGAUUCGGUGGGUGGUGGUGCAUGGCCGUUCUUAGUUGGUGGAGCGAUUUGUCUGGUUAAUUCCGAUAACGAACGAGACUCUUUCCUGCUAAAUAGCCGUCGGCGUCUCGGACAGCUACCUGCGGUUCAUUUUCUUCUUAGAGGGACAGACGGCGUCUAGCCGUACGAGAUUGAGCAAUAACAGGUCUGUGAUGCCCUUAGAUGUUCUGGGCCGCACGCGCGCUACACUGAAGGAAUCAGCGUGCUUUUUCCCGGGCCGAGAGGUCCGGGUAACCCGUUGAACCUCCUUCGUGAUAGGGAUCGGGGCUUGCAAUUGUUCCCCGUGAACGAGGAAUUCCCAGUAAGCGCGAGUCAUAAGCUCGUGUUGAUUACGUCCCUGCCCUUUGUACACACCGCCCGUCGCUACUACUGAUUGAAUGAUUUAGUGAGGUUUUCGGACCGGUGCGCGGAAGAGCGCCUCGUGCGCUCCUCCGACGUUCAUCGGAAAGAUGACCGAACUUGAUUAUUUAGAGGAAGUAAAAGUCGUAACAAGGUUUCCGUAGGUGAA
rnacentral:rRNA from 1 species